UGUAACUGCUGUAGAGUAUAAUGAUACUAACUCUAGUUUCUCCAGCUUGAAUUGUGUGUUCAUCAGUAGAUCACUGAGGUGUUUCACUCCAGAGUCUCCUAGUAGUUCAUUCAGACUCAGGUUCAGUUCUCUCAGGUGUGAUGGGUUUGAUUUCAGAGCUGAAGUCAGGAUGAGACACUGUUUCUCUGUAAUACUGCAUCCACACAGACUGAAGACAGAAAGAGAAAACACAAUGAAUCAGACACGUUAUGUUCAUGUGUGAGUAAUUCAUCAUGUGUUAACAACAUACAGUGCAAUAAAUAAAAC